GACUCGUCACACUAUCAUUAACUGAAUCCAUAGGUUAAUGAGGCGAACCGGGGGAACUGAAACAUCUAAGUACCCCGAGGAAAAGAAAUCAACCGAGAUUCCCCCAGUAGCGGCGAGCGAACGGGGAGGAGCCCAGAGCCUGAAUCAGCAUGUGUGUUAGUGGAAGCGUCUGGAAAGGCGCGCGAUACAGGGUGACAGCCCCGUACACAAAAGCGCAUGUGCUGUGAGCUCGAUGAGUAGGGCGGGACACGUGGUAUCCUGUCUGAAUAUGGGGGGACCAUCCUCCAAGGCUAAAUACUCCUGACUGACCGAUAGUGAACCAGUACCGUGAGGGAAAGGCGAAAAGAACCCCGGCGAGGGGAGUGAAAAAGAACCUGAAACCGUGUACGUACAAGCAGUGGGAGCACCCUUUGGGGUGUGACUGCGUACCUUUUGUAUAAUGGGUCAGCGACUUAUAUUCUGUAGCAAGGUUAACCGAAUAGGGGAGCCGGAGGGAAACCGAGUCUUAACCGGGCGUUAAGUUGCAGGGUAUAGACCCGAAACCCGGUGAUCUAGCCAUGGGCAGGUUGAAGGUUGGGUAACACUAACUGGAGGACCGAACCGACUAAUGUUGAAAAAUUAGCGGAUGACCUGUGGCUGGGGGUGAAAGGCCAAUCAAACCGGGAGAUAGCUGGUUCUCCCCGAAAGCUAUUUAGGUAGCGCCUCGUGAAUUCAUCUCCGGGGGUAGAGCACUGUUUCGGCUAGGGGGCCAUCCCGGCUUACCAACCCGAUGCAAACUGCGAAUACCGGAGAAUGUUAUCACGGGAGACACACGGCGGGUGCUAACGUCCGUCGUGAAGAGGGAAACAACCCAGACCGCCAGCUAAGGUCCCAAAGUCAUGGUUAAGUGGGAAACGAUGUGGGAAGGCCCAGACAGCCAGGAUGUUGGCUUAGAAGCAGCCAUCAUUUAAAGAAAGCGUAAUAGCUCACUGGUCGAGUCGGCCUGCGCGGAAGAUGUAACGGGGCUAAACCAUGCACCGAAGCUGCGGCAGCGACGCUGAUGCGUUGUUGGGUAGGGGAGCGUUCUGUAAGCCUGCGAAGGUGGCCUGUGAGGGUUGCUGGAGGUAUCAGAAGUGCGAAUGCUGACAUAAGUAACGAUAAAGCGGGUGAAAAGCCCGCUCGCCGGAAGACCAAGGGUUCCUGUCCAACGUUAAUCGGGGCAGGGUGAGUCGACCCCUAAGGCGAGGCCGAAAGGCGUAGUCGAUGGGAAACGGGUUAAUAUUCCCGUACUUGGUGUUACUGCGAAGGGGGGACGGAGAAGGCUAUGUUGGCCGGGCGACGGUUGUCCCGGUUUAAGCGUGUAGGUGUGUGUUCCAGGUAAAUCCGGUUCACUUUAACACUGAGGCGUGAUGACGAGGCACUACGGUGCUGAAGCAACAAAUGCCCUGCUUCCAGGAAAAGCCUCUAAGCAUCAGGUAACAUCAAAUCGUACCCCAAACCGACACAGGUGGUCAGGUAGAGAAUACCAAGGCGCUUGAGAGAACUCGGGUGAAGGAACUAGGCAAAAUGGUGCCGUAACUUCGGGAGAAGGCACGCUGACACGUAGGUGAAGUGAUUUACUCAUGGAGCUGAAGUCAGUCGAAGAUACCAGCUGGCUGCAACUGUUUAUUAAAAACACAGCACUGUGCAAACACGAAAGUGGACGUAUACGGUGUGACGCCUGCCCGGUGCCGGAAGGUUAAUUGAUGGGGUCAGCGCAAGCGAAGCUCCUGAUCGAAGCCCCGGUAAACGGCGGCCGUAACUAUAACGGUCCUAAGGUAGCGAAAUUCCUUGUCGGGUAAGUUCCGACCUGCACGAAUGGCGUAAUGAUGGCCAGGCUGUCUCCACCCGAGACUCAGUGAAAUUGAACUCGCUGUGAAGAUGCAGUGUACCCGCGGCAAGACGGAAAGACCCCGUGAACCUUUACUAUAGCUUGACACUGAACAUUGAGCCUUGAUGUGUAGGAUAGGUGGGAGGCUUUGAAGUGUGGACGCCAGUCUGCAUGGAGCCGACCUUGAAAUACCACCCUUUAAUGUUUGAUGUUCUAACGUGGACCCGUGAUCCGGGUUGCGGACAGUGUCUGGUGGGUAGUUUGACUGGGGCGGUCUCCUCCUAAAGAGUAACGGAGGAGCACGAAGGUUGGCUAAUCCUGGUCGGACAUCAGGAGGUUAGUGCAAUGGCAUAAGCCAGCUUGACUGCGAGCGUGACGGCGCGAGCAGGUGCGAAAGCAGGUCAUAGUGAUCCGGUGGUUCUGAAUGGAAGGGCCAUCGCUCAACGGAUAAAAGGUACUCCGGGGAUAACAGGCUGAUACCGCCCAAGAGUUCAUAUCGACGGCGGUGUUUGGCACCUCGAUGUCGGCUCAUCACAUCCUGGGGCUGAAGUAGGUCCCAAGGGUAUGGCUGUUCGCCAUUUAAAGUGGUACGCGAGCUGGGUUUAGAACGUCGUGAGACAGUUCGGUCCCUAUCUGCCGUGGGCGCUGGAGAACUGAGGGGGGCUGCUCCUAGUACGAGAGGACCGGAGUGGACGCAUCACUGGUGUUCGGGUUGUCAUGCCAAUGGCACUGCCCGGUAGCUAAAUGCGGAAGAGAUAAGUGCUGAAAGCAUCUAAGCACGAAACUUGCCCCGAGAUGAGUUCUCCCUGAGACUUAAAGUCUCCUGAAGGAACGUUGAAGACGACGACGUUGAUAGGCCGGGUGUGUAAGCGCAGCGAUGCGUUGAGCUAACCGGUACUAAUGAACCGUGAGGCUUAACCUUACAAC
rnacentral:rRNA from 1 species